UUUCUAUGGAAACAGAAGUUAACAAGUGAGCACAUGGAGGACAGGUUGGGCCACUCACACUGGGUGACCCUCAAGAUCAAGAAAAACAAGAGAUUCGUCCAACGUGAAGGGGAAGGUCUCCUGCUUCCCAGGGUUCCUUGCUCGCUGAAGGACUGUCACCUGAGGGAGGGACAAGAGGAACCAAAUGGGGCUGAAGUGGAUGUGUCAAGGAUGACGUCUGUGGCCUCAGGCAACUGUUUCUUGGACACGUGGAUCGCCUGGCCUCCAGAGACCAGAGCCAGGUCCUUGUAGUCAUCAAAGGAAGCAGCACUGAGGGAACGACGGCGCCUUGUGCUGAUGAAGUCAUUGUCCCAGGCGGCCAGCCGGAUGUCCUCCAGCAGCUGAAGGCUGGCGGCUGUGGCUGCAUUUACAGCAGCAUUGUGGAG